AUAACUUUGGCUCAUCGGAGCCAAUACAUUCUAAUACUGUACGGAGCUCCUUCUCUGUACAGUAUUGGAACAAAGUUAUAUGCGAAUCGACUUUGGAUGUUUCAUCCGAAGUCGAUUCGCUCAUCCCUAGUCGCCAUUCCCAUGAACAUUUGUCCGUGUAAUCCAGGGGCAGCUCAAAUCAGACAGAAGGGGAGCCACGCUGAGAGAGCAGCUCUCUGAACUCGCUCAUAGAAGGGAGUCCUGUGCGGGCGAUCUGCCUCUAUGAUUCCCAGGACAGGCAUUGGGAUAAUGGCUGUCUUCAUUAGAAAACCCCUUUAAAUGCAUUGUACACUAUUGAAACCAUUUUAAUUGCACUAAUGCAUGUAAUGCAAGAAAUCACAAAACAGUUCUGCAAAUAUUACUGAUGAAAGGGGUUGUCCGAGAGUUUAAUAAUGAUGACCUAUCCUUGGGGUAGGUCAUCAGUAUCUUAUUGGUGGUGAUCUGACUCCCAGAUCACCUGACGAUCAGCUGUUUGUUGAGACCGCUGUGCUUCAUGAGGGCUGCAGCUUCUUCCUAGGCCAGUGAUGUCACAUUCAUCGGCAUCAUGGCCUAGACACAGCCUAUAUCAUUUCAAGUGAAUGGGCCUGAGCUGCAGUACCUAGCACAGCCACUAUCCAAUUGACGGCACUGUGUUAGUAAGCUGUGAGGAGGCCACAGCACUCACCAGAGCAUUGCAGCCUUUUGAGACAGCCGAUCGGCGGUGGUGACGGUGUCGGGCCCCACCGAUCACGUACUGAUAAUCUUUCCUAAGGAUACGUAAUCAGUAUUAAAACUCGGAUAAUCCCUUUGAUAAAAUGUAUUGUUUUUUGUCUACAGCUCGCGUGUUACUGCUUUCCAUCUGAACUUGCCUUCCUAUUAAUAUACAGAGUAGAGAACACAUGACUAGAGGAUCUGACUAAACAUAGGGCUUGAAUGUAUUGGUGAAAACACAUAGUUGUGCAUUGGAGCUGUAUACACAAAAACGAAGUUUUUAGAUUAAUUGGAGAAAUAAGAAGACUGCAUCAAAACUGUACAUACCAAUUAAAGGGGUUGCUCAACCUCCAAAAAAUUUGAAAGUGUCAGGAAACUACAUAAAACAGCAAAAAACCCUCACCUUUUGAAAGCCCCUCAGUUCCAGCACCUCUGCCGAGUCUCUGUGAGUUCACAUGGCCACAAACAGAAUGUCAUCACUUCUGGUCCCUUGAGAACCAGAAACAUUGGCGACAGGAAACUUGUCGCUGAAACAGAGGGGAUUUCAGAAGGUGUUUUUUUCUUUGCUUCAUGCAGUCACACAUUUAUAUUGCAGGUUGGACAUCCCCUAUGGCUUCAGCUUCAUCCAGCUUAUGGUUGUUUAUGUCUUAAAGGGAAUCGGUCACGACGAUCUUGGACUAUAAACUGCAGUAUUACAUGAGUCCACAUUGCUACUUUUUAUUUUUCCUACUGUCCCCCGUUCCCCGCUGUCACUGUUUAACCUUUUCCUGACAUGGCAGUUUUCAGUUUUUGCCUUUUAUUGCAUACUAUGUAGUGGGAAGCUGGAAAAUAUGAUUACAAAAAUACCACAUUUAUAUAGUUUUCUUUCUUUAUAUAGUGUUUUAAUACUGAAAAAAAUAAAAACUUUGGAAACAUUUUUUUUUUCUUUUCAUUGCCAUAUUCUGACCCCCAUUAUUUUUUAUAGUUAUGUCUAUGGAGCUAUAUGAGGUCUUAUUCUUUGCGGGACGAUCUUAUUGAUAACAUUUUGGAGUGUGUAUGACAACUUUGUAUUUUUUUUUUUUUAACCUUACACCAUUUGCCAUAUGGGAUGCAUGUUUUUUUAAUAGUAGGGGCAUUUCCUGACGUGGCGAUGCCUAUGAUGUUGUUUAUUUUUAUUUAGAGGAAAAGAGUGAAUUUUAAAUAUUUUUUUUUGCUAUUUUUAAAAUCAUUUAAUUUACUUUCUAUUUUACUUUUUGUAGGCACCCAAGAGGACCCCAAUACGCAAUCAUUAGAUUGCCAUUUGUCUUGAAUAAUGAAAUUUAAUCCGUUAUUGAAUAGAAAAUUCAGUAUAUUCCAGUGCAGUGCUGCACCUGCAGGCCAGGAUUGGAACAUAGCAGUAAUAGGCCUGGAAGCCUUGUACAGGCUGAAGCCUAUUUCUACUAAGGAACACCUUCCCCGAUCUCAGCAAGGGGAAGGUGUUCCAGGGAGCUUGUGCUCCCGUUUUUUCUAGCUCCGAUGCCAUGGUCAAAUAUGACCAUGGCUUGUGAGGAGUUAAAUGUUUGUGAUCAGCAUUAUCGCUGAUCGCAGACAUUAGCCCUGGGUGUCUGUUGUGUGAAACAGCCAGUGGCUAUGAUGCUCACUCCACUCUGGAGAAUGUGCCAUAUUUAAAGACGUGACACCUGCUGUUCAUAUACAGCGGAUGUCAAGAAGGUGUAACGCUGCACUGAAAUACCUUGUCAGGUAUGCAUGCGUAUGUUAUUCCUCUCCAACAGUACGGAGUGUGUAUUUCAGUGCAGGUUUUCAGUGUUGUCAGCAGGGAAGCAGCAGUAGGACUUUUUAUCUGUAGUGCUACUUAUGUCUAACUGCAGAUAACAGGCCAGAAUCGAGGUGACAGAUUCUCUUUGCAUACAUUGGAAUUAUGACUGCACUGUACGUCUACCAUCUACAAUACUUUCCACUAUAUUUAUUGCUAUUUUGUUUGUGAAUCAAUUUCUUUGAUAUUCCUUUGUUUCCAUUGUUUCUGUAUAUUUGAUGUAUAAUUUAUACUCUAUCUAAAGAGACCACAAACUAAUAUAUCAUA